rnacentral:rRNA from 1 species
GCAUAUCAAUAAGCGGGAGGAAAAGAAACCCAACAGGGAUUGCCUCAGUAACGGCGAGUGAAGCGGCAACAGCUCAAAUUUGAAAAUCUGGCCGCAAAGGUCCGAGUUUGUAAUUUGUAGAGGAUGCUUUUGGCGAGGUGCCUUCCGAGUUCCCUGGAACGGGACGCCAUAGAGGGUGAGAGCCCCGUACGGUAGGACCMCCAAGCCCUCUGUAAAGCUCCUUCGACGAGUCGAGUAGUUUGGGAAAUGCUGCUCUAAAUGGGAGGUGUACGUCUUCUAAAGCUAAAUACCGGCCAGAGACCGAUAGCGCACAAGUAGAGUGAUCGAAAGAUGAAAAGCACUUUGAAAAGAGGGUUAAAAAGUACGUGAAAUUGUUGAAAGGGAAGCAUUCAUGACCAGACUUGGGCUUGGUUGAACAUCCGGCGUUCUCGCCGGUGCACUCUGCCAGUCCAGGCCAGCAUCAGUUUGCCCCCGGGGGGAUAAAGGCGGCGGGAAUGUGGCUCCCUUCGGGGAGUGUUAUAGCCCGUCGUGUAAUGCCCUGGGGCGGACUGAGGAACGCGCUUCGGCACGGAAUGCUGGCGUAAUGGUCAUCAAUGACCCGUCUUGAAACACGGACCAAGGAGUCGUCUUCGUAUGCGAGUGUUCGGGUGUCAAACCCCUACGCGUAAUGAAAGUGAACGUAGGUGAGAGCUUCGGCGCAUCACCGACCGAUCCUGAUGUUCUCGGAUGGAUUUGAGUAAGAGCAUACGGGGCCGGACCCGAAAGAAGGUGAACUAUGCCUGUAUAGGGUGAAAGCCAGAGGAAACUCUGGUGGAAGGCUCGCAAGCGGUUCUGACGUGCAAAAUCGAUCGUCAAAUAUGGCAUGGGGGCGAAGACUAAUCGAACCUUCUAGUAGCUGGGUUU